rnacentral:rRNA from 1 species
CCUUGGUUCUUCGGGAACUGUGAGACAGGUGCUGCAUGGUNUGUCGUCAGCUCGUGUUGUGAAAUGUUGGGUUAAGUCCCGCAACGAGCGCAAACCUUAUUCNUUGGUGGCCAGCGGUUCAGGCCGGGAACUCAAAGGAGACUGCCAGUGAUAAACUGGAGGAAGGUGGGGAUGACGUCAAGUCAUCAUGGCCCUUACGACCAGGGCUACACACGUGCUACAAUGGCAUAUACAAAGAGAAGCGACCUCGCGAGAGCAAGCGGACCUCAUAAAGUAUGUCGUAGUCCGGAUUGGAGUCUGCAACUCGACUCCAUGAAGUCGGAAUCGCUAGUAAUCGUAGAUCAGAAUGCUACGGUGAAUACGUUCCCGG